CUGUAUCUAGUUAAUAACACAAUCCCAACCACUUAAAAUUACAUGUAAUGGUCGAUAAUAAUUAUAACUUCCUUAAACCAAAAGUAAAUAUUCAUAUUUCUUUCUUUUUUUUUCUUUUUUAUGUUUUGGGUUUAUUUCAUUUGUUUGAAGAUUCUCUUUUGGGGUUUUUUAGGUGCUUGGCAGAUAUUUGGCUCGUCAAAUAUAGAUUUUUACUUUAACAUACUAAGAGACAUCCGAUCUCAUU
rnacentral:lncRNA from 1 species